rnacentral:rRNA from 1 species
GUAGGGAAUAUUGGACAAUGGGGGGAACCCUGAUCCAGCCAUGCCGCGUGGAGGAAGACUGCCCUCUGGGUUGUAAACUCCUUUUAUAUGGGAAGAACCGUCCUCAUUAAUGAGUGACCUGACGGUACCAUAGGAAUAAGCACCGGCUAACUCCGUGCCAGCAGCCGCGGUAAUACGUAGGGUGCAAGCGUUAUCCGGAUUCCCUGGGUUUAAAGGGUGCGUAGGCGGAUAAAUAAGUCAGUGGUGAAAUCAACGGGCACAACCUGUUAACUGCCAUUGAUACUGGGUAUCAUGAAUAUGAGACAGGUAGGCGGAAUGUUGCAUGUAGCGGUGAAAUGCUUAGAUAUGCUACGGAACACCGAUUGAGAAAGCAGCUUACUAUUUCGUAAUUGACGCUGAGGCACGAAAGCGUGGGUAGCGAACAGGAUUAGAAACCCGGGUAGUCC